UAUGCUUCUAAGAGCAGUGAUUCAAAGAAGCUUUAGUGUGAAACCCUUUGCAAGGCCUUUGUCUGAUUGACUACCUCAAUUUUUUUGUGUAAGAAUUCUAAACUUUUGAACAAAAAAUGUUGGAAUUUUUGGAACGCGUUGAAUGAAUGAAUGGUAAAAGCUUCAAAAUGCACCUUGGUGAACAUUAGAAUAUGGGACACGUAUAUUGCAAAAGGAUAGUCGGAGGCAUACAAAUGAUCGAAUGGCAAAGCGGCUAACAAGUCCACUACAAACCAGCCUUUUAAAUAGUUGAUGGCUAUCAGCUUUG